UUGUUUUUUUUUUUUAUACAGGAGAUAUAUAAAAGAAUUAAUUUUAAAAGGCAAAAUCAAAGCAAAGACAACGACCGGGACUUCAUUUUAUACAAAAGAAAAUGCAACAAUAUAUAUAUUAUAUUUGUUCCUGCUAUUCCUGCAAGGAGCACAGGACGACAGGGCUUUAUUUCGCCUCAAAAUUUUCCUGUAGGUCUGAGGAUGUGUAAUUUCUUAUUAUUUCGUUUGCGGGUUUGCGUAAGGUGUAUCCAGUCCACACCCAACAAUGUUAACAUACAUACAUAUAUUUAGAUAAAGA